rnacentral:rRNA from 1 species
UACGUAGGGUGCAAGCGUUGUCCGGAGUUACUGGGCGUAAAGCGUGCGUAGGCGGUGUCUUAAGUUUGUUGUGAAAUCUCCCGGCUUAACCGGGAGGGUGCGGCGAAUACUGAGAUGCUGGAGUGCGGGAGAGGUAAGCGGAAUUCCUGGUGUAGCGGUGAAAUGCGUAGAUAUCAGGAGGAACACCUGCGGUGUAGACGGCUUACUGGACCGUAACUGACGCUGAGGCACGAAAGCGUGGGUAGCAAACAGG